rnacentral:lncRNA from 1 species
AAUACAUUUAAAUUGGUAUAUAAAUAUACUAGUAUAGUUUAAAUGAAAAUUUCCCAUCUGGGCUGACAAUGUUGCCUCCAAGAGCCAAAGACCAUCUAACAAAAACCCAAACAUCAAACAUUCAAAAACAUAAGAAGCUCUUUGGAGUUGUUGGUCAAGGUAGUCCAAGAGAACCUUAAAACAUUACAGAAUAACUGUUGCCCUUGGUUAUUCCAUACAGGUGGAAGGUAAGUCUCUAUUGCUGAAGACACCAUGCAUUUCAGACACAGGACCUAAAGGUACAUGAACCAGAAUUGACUUGAAAGCCUCCUCCUUGAGGACUAGCUUUCAUGGUAACAGAAGGGUCAUGCAAGCAUCCAAGGGAAGGGAAGCAACUAACAGUCCUACCCAUAAUACUCUAUCAGCUAUGAUGCCUAUGAACCACAAAAAUGACCAUCAUGGCACAAUAACUCUAAAGGUGAGAUAGUGGCACACAUAACCUAGUUUUACCCAAAAGCUUUCUUAUUGGACUUAAGACUUGCUGAAAAAGAGGGAGACCUACUCAACUACCCAGGGCUAGUGAAGUCAUGGAUCAUGGAGGAGAGCAUAUAACUUCUACUUUACUAAACCAGCAUAACCCCUAACUACAAAUUUAUACCCGCAGUGAAGUGUAAUCCUUAUUUGACAUCAAGAAAACUUCUCUAUGCAACAGAUGGAGACCACUACAGCAAACCAUAAACAAUAAAAAUGCAGAACUGUGGAACCCAGUCCAAACUGAGAUAUCUACAAUUCAGCUCCUGCACCUCAGGUGUAGGGGUCAUUGUGGAAAAGGGAAUGAGAAAGAUGGUAAGUGCCGGAGGAACCAUGAGCUUGCUGUGAGACUGUGUCUUAUAGUAAUGUCAGAAGUUACACCUAUAAAUCUCAACAGCAUGGCUGCCUAAACAUGAGCUGAACAAGUCAACAAGAGGCAUGGCAAUGUGGAAGCGGGAAAGCCAUGGGGACCUAACCCUACAGUGAGAAUUUCAGGCAACGAAGGACUGCAGACACAGGGAGGAACAGUCUUCUUCAGGGAAGAGCAUGUCAGUUGAUUAUCAAAUACCAAAUGGUCAGGCCUGAAAACAUGUAUAUACAAGUCACAUUAGAUGAACUAAGCAGGUUGUAUUUAAGAAUGUGUAUGUAUAUAAAAUAAAGUGUAUGUAUGCAUAUACAUAUAUGUCAACAAUUAAUGGACAAAGAGGCCAUGAAUUUGAAAGUGGGCAAGGGGAUAAGUGAAAAAGAGAAGGGAAAAAUGUAAUUAUAUUAUUGUCUUAGGGUUUCUAUUGCUGUGAAGAGAAACCAUGACUGUGGCAACUAUUUAUUUAUUUAUUUAUUUAUUUAUUUAUUUAUUCAUUCGUUCUCAGUGUCUUUCACAUCAUGCUUCCUGAGCCCACCUGUCUUUCUCUCCUCAUGCCAAAAUAAAACAAGACAAAAUUUAAGAGGGAAAAAAGGAAAAAAUAAAGGAAGAAGGGGAAACUCUCAUCAUGGAAACUCCAGUGUGACAGUGAGUCACGCAGUAAACCCCUUUAUUCAUAUAUUUUUACAUGUAGGUACUUAUUGCAAAGAAUCAUUGGUCUGCUUCAAGGCCCGUGGUCUCUGCUGCACCACUGACACUGUGCCCUCACUGGGACAUUUCCUGGACAUCCUGUUGCUGCCCUGUGUCUUGGAGAUCCUUCAGCCAGCCUUGGGUCCAGAGAACUGACCACGGCCCCUCCAUCCCACCCUACCCUCCUUGUACUCCAGCGGAUCACAGAUGUUGGAUGUUGGGGUAGAUCAACACAUAACCCUGGUUCUGGGUCUGGGUAGUUGGAGGGUUGGUCAGCCCACCAGCUCUCCACUGUCUUUGCCACCAGGGUGAGCUCUCCAGCAUUGCCCUUGCUAGUUGACUGACCCGUUUCGGCAAUGAGCAAGGGGCUCACCUCCUCAAGGUUGGUCCCCUCACACCUACAGGGCCAGCUCUACUGUGUUGCCCAGAGAAAAAGACAUCAAAUCUAAGAGAAAGCAAGCCUUUUAACCAAAGGUCUCCAGAUUGGUUCCUGUCACAAGGACAAUUGCAAAAGGCAAUUAGGUAAGUCUCGCUGCACAAGUCAGACCCAAAAGCCCAACAUAAAAGCCAGGCAUAGUGGUAGGUAUCUGUAAGCUUAGUGCUGGGAGGGUGGAGAUGGGCAGAUAUUGAAAUUCACUGGACAGCCUGUCUAGCCAGCUGGUAAGGUUUGGAUUUAGUGAGAGACCCUGUUUAAACACACACACACACACACACACACACACACACACACACACACACACACUGAUCCCAAGAUAUAAGUGUGUACCACACACUGCAACUCUUUUGUUUCACCCUUUGAGUACAUUGAUGGGCUUGUCAUUCUCUAAUAACCAAAAGGACUUGGGCUGGAAGCGAAUCUGCCCCCAGGUUAAUUUUGUCAUUCAAACAUUCAUUCAUUCAUUCAUUCAUUCUCCUCUGGGAAAAGUAUUGAAUUAUGUCUAAAAGAGUUUUAAAAGGUGGGUACGCACAAGAAACAGCCUGUCGUUCUGAUAUUCAGUAUCAAAGGACAACUUAGGACUUGUUCACUUACAGAUAAAAUAUAAAACAGAAUGUGCUAAAGGGAUGCCAGUUUCAGGAAAAGUAGAAACAUUUUUAUGAUUUAGAAGGUUUAGGAACUCUGGAAAGGAAAUAUAUUAGAAAGAUUAUGGGUUAUUUUUUUCUUUGACACUUACAUGAUUUUUCUACAUAGAGAAAAGCUGUAAUGGUUUGUCAAAUAAUAAUUUGCUGUAAAAUUUAUAUGUAUAAUGUGGAAUAACUAAAUCAAACUAAAUAGCAAUCUGUCAUCAAAAGCACUUAUCAUUUUCUGUGGUUAGGACAACUGAAUUUUACUCGGUUAGCAAUUUGAAUAUAAGCCACAGUGUUGUUAACUGUUACCCCCUAUAUAAUUAAUCUCAAAACUGUUUCUUUGGGAUAACCGACACUCUGUACUUUUUAACGAGCAUCUUUCCAUCCCUCCAACCCUGGGGUAACCACCAUCCAACUUUCUCCUGUGAGUUUGCCUUUUCAGAUUCUGCACCUAAGUGAGGAGGUGUGGUACUUAGACAUGUGUGGUACUUAUACCUGGUGCUCUGUAUUAUGUGAAAUGGUGUUUCUCCACAUUUCACCUGUGUUGCAAAUAACAAAAACACUGGUGGAAAAAAAUUGCCCUUCCCCAGCAACCAUUAACUUGCAGCAUUGCUCAGGAAGAGGUGAGCCUUAGGAGCCUACCCCCCAUCUCUGAUGAUGGGGUCCAUCUGGUGCAGGUAACUUCAGCUGUUGUGAAGUCAU